rnacentral:rRNA from 1 species
UACGUAGGGUGCGAGCGUUAAUCGGAAUUACUGGGCGUAAAGCGUGCGCAGGCGGUCUGUUAAGACAGAUGUGAAAUCCCCGGGCUUAACCUGGGAACUGCAUUUGUGACUGGCAGGCUAGAGUAUGGCAGAGGGGGGUAGAAGUUCCACGUGUAGCAGUGAAAUGCGUAGAGAUGUGGAGGAAUACCGAUGGCGAAGGCAGCCCCCUGGGCCAAUACUGACGCUCAUGCACGAAAGCGUGGGGAGCAAA